ACAAGGCAUGCCUUUACUGUCGGAUAAUCAGAUUUAAUUUUCUUUUAAUUUUUUUACGAAAUGGGCUAUUUAAGUGAAAAGCACAAGAUUGAAAUCUUAUUGAUGAUUGGGUACAGAGAUAGCACAAGAACCCAAAAUGAAGUCUUGCAUUUAUUCAGACAGAAGUAUUCUGAUUUGCCACCCAUUUCUCAAAGUACUAUAAGCAAGAUUUAAAAACAGUUUCGGGAAAAUGGUCACGUAAGAACAAUAACUAGUUCUCGUCGAUCUGCGCUUAAUGAAAACACCAAAAUUAAUGUGUUAUUAGCCAUGGAGAAAUCCUAAUAUUCCCAGUACGCAGGUAGCGCGAGCAUUCGAAGGGAGCCAGUCUUCAGUAGAACACAGUGAGGAGAAUGCAGAUAGAAGACUUGAAUUUUGUGAACAAUUUAUGGAAUUAAUGCAUAAUAAUAAUCUUAUAACAGAAAAAAAUCUCUUUUCCGAUGAGUCGACAUUUAUGCUGAACAUGAGAAGUAAAUCGUCAAAAUUGCUGUUAUUGGGCAAGAAAAUCCAUGUUGGAUGAGGCAAGGCCACACUCAACACCCAGAAAAAGUAAUUGUUUGGUCAGCAAGUUAUAGGCUCAAUUUUCUUCGAAGUAAAUUUAAAUGGAGCAAGGUACUUACAGUUUUUACAAGAAGAACUAAUUCCAAAUCUAGCUGUUCUAUUCCCCUGAUCCAAUAGAAGCUGAUAUGCCGAAUAGGUCUAUAGGAUAUAGGUUUAACAUCUGGUUUCAGCAAGAUGGUGUGCCUCCCCAUUUUGCAAGACCUGUUCAAAACUAUCUGGAUACUAUUUUUCCAGACAGAUGGAUUGGCAGGAGAGGACCAUUUGAAUGGCCACCAAGAUCGCCCGAUUUGACUCCGCUGGAUUUUUCCUAUGGGGAUAUUUGAAAUACAAAGUUUACGUGACCAAGUCAAAAAGAUUUAAAAGAACCUUCUUUAAGUUUAUGAAAUAGGUUUUCUUUAACGCCCUGUAUCUUAAAAACAAUCGAAUAAAGGUUUGGCAUGUGAUACAUCAAAA